rnacentral:lncRNA from 1 species
AAAAUUUGAUUCUACUUUGUUGCAAGCAGGUUGAGGAAUGCUGCCUUUGUCGAUUUCAAGGAUGAUGUUUUGGCUUCUCAAGCACACAACUCAACAGGUGCUUUUAGGGGUCCCAUCGGUAUUUUUGUGUUUUUGGACCUUAUUACAUUUGAAAUAUUUGUCUCAUUUCUUUUCUGUAUAGUCACUUUAUGUAGAAAGUUUUGCAACAUCAAUUGAAGGAAAAUGCGGUCCAGAUAUUGAGGACUUCUGGUAAAGUAAUUUUUUAGGGAGAUCUUAAAGUUUUGCAACAUCAGUUGGAGCAAAAUGUGGUCCAGAUAUUGUGGACUUUUGGUAAAGUUUUUAGGGAGAUCUUAGGACAUAGGUAAAACCAUGUUCUUUUGUUUGCUUCAAUUUGUUUAACAACGAAAAAUUUGCAUAUGGGUGGAGGUAUAGAUUUAGAAUAUUUAAAAAAAUCUUCCAAUAGAAGCUUGUCUUUCCUUGGUAGCUCUUUAUUUGGUUGUUCUCUGUUGGGAUCGUUUGCUCUCUCUUUUUCUUUGUCCAUGUUAAUUUUGAGCUUAUCUUUUAGGUUUCAUUUUUAAGUUGUGCUUGCUUUUAUGUUGUUUUCACGUUUUUGAUGUCUAUUUCAGUUUCUUUUCUUUUUAUUUGAUUUAGAGGCAUUUGUCAACAUGAUUAGUUUUGUCUGUAGAGGCUUGGAACCUAGCCUUUUAUGUGGAGCUCUCUUUUUCUUUUACUUUAAGCACUGUUGUUAAUUUCUAGAAGCAGGUUCUUUCUGGCAGUAAGUUUCUUUUUCAUCAAUAUUUGCAAAUAAGUGCUCUGAGCUUGUAUUUUGAGUUAUUGGUACUUUCCUUUCAUGCUUUGAAUAUGUAAUGCAAGUUGACAUUUCUUGGGAAGGUUAUAUCUGUUGAGAGAGCAAGCACGUUGGCAGCAAAUAAGAAGCAGAGAACUGAGGAAGUGUGUAAGCAGGAUGCAUC